rnacentral:lncRNA from 1 species
CUCAUAUAGAUCUUGCAUAACUGGAAAUCAAAGUGAAUCUCAUGUUGUUUUUGAUGGGUUUAGAAUAAAAUCAAUGACAUCACUAUGGCCUUUGUCAAUGACUUGGUUUUAAACUCUGGUUCAAAAUAUCCACUGCAAUGGGAUAAUGACCUUAACAUCCAGUGAUGACUUCAUUUUAGACUCUGGUUCAAAACAUCCAUUGCCAUGAGAUAAUGGCCAUAACAUCUGAUGGACCUCGUUUUCCCAAAGACACGGAAAUGGAUUAGGUAGGGGUGACUCUGAAUCACUUGCAUUGAGUCUACUUCAUGUGAAGUCCCCAAGGUCAGUUGAAGGUUGUCUGGUGAUCAGCUAGAUAAUUCCAAAUACUUGACCCGAGGCUAGAUGCUUGAGGAGGGUAAUUCAAGAGGCCCAACUGUUGUAUAUUGUCUCCCCACAUGGCAAAACCUGUUUUAUCACGAUGAUAAAAAAAAAAAAAAAAGUGUUUAAUUAAGGUAGAUAAUGCAACUUCAGCCAAUAGGGUGUGAGACAGCGAGAGGUGAAGAUAGAGUAACAUACAUUUCUUGUCCAUGGGAUGAUGGCCAUCUAGUAUAUACGAACUUCAAUUUUUAGCCACAUUGAAGAAAGUUGGCCUCUCAUUAAGACACUAUGAUCACAUUUAGAAAUCUUAAGGAAUUUUGAGAAUGUAUCAAUGCCUUGCAUAAUUCCAUUUAGAAAUCUGAGUCCCAGAAAGGUGUUGAUGCCGAAGUCCCAAAAUUUAAAAUUUUGAGACUCUAUUAUUGUCUAUUCUCCUGCCACAGUAACAAGAUUUCUUUACAAUGAACAGUCAUUAUAAUUUCACAUAUGCUAAUGCUAGCAUAAGCCACUUUGAGAAAACAAUUGAUCCUUGGAUUAUUACCAAUCUCAAAGGAAUUGAAGAAGGCUAGAUGGUCAAGGUCCAAAGUUCUUGAUGACAUUUCUAGUUCGCCAAUCGAUGACAAUAUCAUACGUGAAACAAAAGACAUGAAGUCUGAAACAUUCAAAAUCAAAAGCAUUUGUUUUAAUUCUUUAGCAAGAAAAAUAACAUAAUGGAUCUUAUUUGUAUGAUUAUCAAGUUUAACAACACGCCAUUGCCUGACUCCUUAAUUGGCUUCCAAGAUUUAAAUAAUUCAAAGACACCAUUAUGUUUAAUUCCAAUAUAAAAGACUAUCAAAGAAGGGGUAUAUAAAUUUGCUUGAAAUUUAUGCAAGAUAACCAGUCUGAUUGUGGGAGAGUUAACAAACCUCUAAUUUUUUGUCGACAAAAUCUCGUUAAUUGGAUUCCUGAAAAACGUAUUAAAAAUAAGUAAACACUCAUCAUAGUUAAAAUCCAAAUCCCGAGUCAAAAGAAGAUUGUUUAUUGUAGAACUAAACACAAUUACUAAACCUUAUAAUGCAAGAACGCAAGAUUGUCCUCGAACACAUUUCCCAUCUUAUCAUAUUCAAUUUAUGGCCUUCCUACAUAACUGCAUUUUAUAUUUGAAAGGUAAAUUAGACAUUUUUUAUGUGAGUAAUAAGAAAGUAAAUGCCAUGAAAGGCAAACCAUACAAGAAAAGAAGUUGUAAACAUAUAAGAGUGCUUACUAAUCACUGUUGAAUGAUAUGUUAAUUGUCUCUCUUUGAAUCUACAAGAGUUUAUAUUUUGUGAAUCAUAAUAUGCCACCAAGAAAAAUGCCUCCCAGGGUUAAACCCAUAAACACCUUGAUGGAUUAGACAAAGUCUCGUACUAAGAUGCGAAAUCAAUUUUGAUAUUAUUUAUAACCUUUCAAUCUCUUUUGUGCGGACAUUGUCCACUUUGAGUUCAAUGAAUCCUCACAACCUAAAAAUGUGUUUAUCCUAUUGAAUAGAAACUCUCUGUAUUUAUGAUGUUGAUUUAUAAAGAUGAAGAAAUUGUUUUAAAUUUUGUUUUACGAGUCAAUGGGACCACGAAAAAGGAAAACAAAAAGGAAAAAGUUAGUAGAUGUUGACUAAAAUGGAUUAAAAAAACACACACACACACACUCACAAAUAUUAAAAAUUCCUCAACCGAUUGAGAAAAUUCCUUAACCGGUUGCCACUGGUUAAAAAAAUCUUCAACCAGGCCGGUUGAGAAAAUUCCUCAACCGGUUCCCUUUAUUCCUCAACCGGUUGCCACUGGUUAAAAAAUUCCUCACCCGGUUGUUACAAUUCCUCAACCGGUCUCCACUACCUUCACAAGUCGUACCUAUGAUUCACACCAUAACCUAUAGUCUUACAGGUACUAACUAUAUAAUUUUUAGCAUAGAUAAAUGAAUAUAUAUAUAUAGGAACAAAAAAAAAUCUAAUUAUCUAAAAGAUCAUACAAAAUCAAACAUGUCGAACAUGAAUGAUGCCUAUAUAUUACAAUUUCAAUUUGCAGACCAUAUUGAAAGAAGAGUAUAGAAAAUCAAAAUAAAACGGACUUAAUGAUGAAUAAUGUAUGGUCAUCCAAGGUAAGAACUUCCCAAUAAACAUGACGAUAUGUGGAGAUGGAAAUUAUAAAUAUUAGAAAAACAACAAAUAUCAUAAUAAUAAUUUUUCCAUUGCUCAUGUCGACAUCUUUGUACAAAUAAUAGCGACGAUGGUUUGCUUUUCUCUAUUGCCUCCGUGUAAAACUAAAUCACUUGUUAUUUCCCGACGUAGUUUAACAGAAUUACAUAAGUCGGAGACCGUCAUGGAAUCACCAUUGUUGAAUGUCUGCAUAUGUUUAAUGACAUGCACUACACAAUUCCACCUAAGAAAAAUAAAAGAAAAGAAAAACAACUUAUUGAAUGGUUGUAUAAUUAUAGCUCAGAUAAACAAUAGUAAUGUGAGUUAUGUAUUCAUACUAACCCAUUCUCUUGGGUCGGAAUCGAAGGAGCCCAAUCAAUGGAGAAUUGGAAGACAUCUGUCCCUAUGUCAUACAGUUUGAAGAACGUUUGACAAAAUUCAACCUAAUUUAUUAUGAAAGUGUUAAUAAAUAUGGAAGAGAGAAAAAAACAGAAUAAAAGGAAAAUAUAAACAUUAAAGCAUACCACUGUUUUGACACUCUGAAACUGGAACUUGUCUCGAUUCUUCGAUUGUAAUGAAUCCAAAAUUUGGAUAUGAGAGUUUUUGAAGUCAAUGACGCACAAAUACCAAUGACUAGGGCAUUCGUCAUGCAUUGGAAUAAAUAGUUGUAAAGUUAGAAAAACAAUAUAUAUGAGUUGGGGCACAAAAAAUCUACUAUAUUAUAGGUGAAAACAAUAUCUAUUCUAAAUUUCAUAUAUGCAAUUAAACAUUAGAAAUAAUUACUAACCUUCUCGCAAUCAUCUAAUUCGCUAAUGUACUUACUCCCGAUGGAUGUUUUUCUAUCAAAAAAAUGAUGAGGAGUCCCGCACAAAAUCAUUUGCUAAUAAUAAAACAUAAUAUGAACAUUAGUAUAUUGUACUUAAUACGUAAGUAAACAAGAAGAGAAAUAUGAGCUUACUGAAAAUGUCGUGGGAAGAUAACAUCUUAUACUUGCAAUGCCUAUAAAUUGCCUCUGAAAAUAAUUUAGCUUUGAGGCUUCUAGUUUUAUUACCUGUUGUUAAACAAUAACUUCAAUAAAUUAAUUUAAUUAAUUUAGCACACAAUUGAAAUAAAUGAAGUAGGUACUUACAACAUCCAUCAAAUUUUGUCUAGGGCGUAAGCACUCAAAAUCUCCACGAAUUCCAUGUUCAUGAUCAAAGUUAACAAGAAGCUCACUAAAAUAAUAAUAUGUUAAAACAUUCUUUACUAAAUUGGAAGCAUAUGAAGGCUAAAAUUGUAACAAGACAUCUAUUAAUAUUCUAGACACUACAAACCUUUUUAACAAUCCUUUAUUGAAAACAUAAUUAGCAACAAGAGAUUGAAGUACAUUGAAUGAUUGACCAUCCACCACGUCUUCACGAAUGGACAUGGGGAUUGACUAAAUUGAAAACAAGACAUAAUUAUUACCUAUAUAUGUUGAGUAUCCAAAAUAAGAACAUGAUAUUAAACUAUUUGUAUUAAACCUCUGAUGCUUGACGUUUUCCCAUCUUCCUUAAAUUGUGUACAAACGGGGAGACCUUGAAUUUACUUGGUUUCCUCUCCCUUAAUGUACAUGUUUUCAUGACAUGAUCGGGAUAACCACAUAGUGCUCAUAAUGGUUCCUAAUAUGGAAAAUACCAUUAAUAUACAUCUAUUUACUAUGCAAUGGUUAAGUAGUUGUAAAGAAAAUAUUUUUUUCUUUUAUAUGAUACAUACCUUUCCAUAAUCUCUUCUACUCCUUUUGAUUGGAAAUGGUAAAAUAUCUACAUUUUCGUCUGGAAUGAUAUGCACUUCAAUUGAUGUAGCACAUGCAUCUUCAUUCUUUCCAUUCAAGUCCUCAGUACAUAACUUCUCAAUUGUAAAGAAAAUAUUUUUUUCUUUUAUAUGAUACAUACCUUUCCAUAAUCUCUUCUACUCCUUUUGAUUGGAAAUGGUAAAAUAUCUACAUUUUCGUCUGGAAUGAUAUGCACUUCAAUUGAUGUAGCACAUGCAUCUUCAUUCUUUCCAUUCAAGUCCUCAGUGCAUAACUUCUCAAUUGACAAAGUGUGAACAUAAUGUUCAUUUCCAUUCUUAUUGUCCUUAUCUUCAAAACUUCUCUCACACGAGAGAAUGUCAUUCUUCGUUCCCUUGUCGUGCAUUCUCAAAGGUUUUUCGCUUGAUCCAACGAAGAGACCUUUCAAUGUAGUAUAUUUCUCCUCAAAUUCAGUCAAAACUUUUUCACACCUACUACUUGGACCAUGAGACAAAUCAAUUAGAUGUGUCUUUAAUUGUUCAAAGGUUUUAUCCAUCUCCAUUAAGCUCCCACCGUGUUCCUAGUGAUAUAUGGGAACUUCAUUAAUAACAUAAUAAUACAAGGGUUCACUACUAAUAUUGAUACUCAUGAUGAAUAUUGUAAAACGUACUCGUUUAAUAACAUCUUUAUUUGGAUUGAUUUCAAAUUUCUGCUCCUCCUCAUUCUCUCUCUCCAUUGUCAUCGCAUUUCUAUCAACACAAUCCCUUAUCUCAUUUUGUAUCACCCAUAUUUUGACCUACAAUAUAUUCAUCAAAAUAUAACACAUAUCAAAUUAAAAAUCACUAAAAACUUAAACCAAUAUUAAAAGACUUUUGAAACUAUAACUUACAUUGUCAUUUGCAUAUCCACCGACUUUUUUCAAUCUUCGUUUCAUGUCCAGUACUUGAUCAUCUCCCCAAGCAGUAAUCCGAGGACAAGGUCGAGUAUAUAAUGGUAGAAAUUUCUCUUCGAACGAUAUAUGCUUGUGGUAGAAUAACUGCAAUUAUAUUUGACAUACAUAUAUAGUUAACAAAUUUUAUUAUAACAAAUUCGAAAUUCACUAUGAUGUCGAUUAAUUAUAAGGACAUUACCAUUAAAAACAAUAAGCAAUCGCAAACCCCACUUUGUUGUUUCAUCUUAAACUCUUCAAUCCCAUGCACAAGAUAAGACAACACAAAUUCAGCCCAAUUCAUCUUCUUUAUUGAAUCAAUGUCUUCCACAAGAUGUAAGAAAGAACGUUUCACAAAAAACUUCAUUGUUGGGCACAAUAAUGCACCCAACACAAAUAAUACAAAACGAACUUUGAAAUCGUUUCCACCUUCUUUAUCCUCCCUAAUUUGAUUUUCUAACAUCACUAAUGGCAAUUGCCCCUUUUUAUCACAAUAUUUUUUACAUAAAUCAUUGUUAUGGCUAACAUCUUUGUUCAUGCCAAUCUUCAACCCUCUUGCCCUCAAUCCCAUAAUAAAUUCAACAUCAACGGAGGAUAAUUUGAUACAAGUAUUAUACAACUUUCACAUAUAAGUGUUCGGGUUGAAACUAUUUAUCAACCAAAGACAUAACCCAUGAUCAAUUUUCCUACAUCGGAGUUGCAAGAGGCUACCAAAACCUAUUUCUUCUAUGGCUGCUCUUUGCUUUGGUUCUAAUUCUUCAAUAACUCUAAUCACUCGUUCGGGUGAGCAUUGAGUCUGAAGAUAUAACUGAAAAAAUACACAAACAUCAAACAUGUUUAAAUUAAUAUAAUUUCCAACAAAUACAUAAGUAAUGAAAUUAAAUAUUCAUUACAAAAAAAUUGCCUUUGGAGCCACACCCUUUUGAAGUCAAUAUUGUUUUGAACUUUCUUUGGACUUUGCCAUGAAAUCUUAUUUUUCUACUUUUGAAAGUUCAUUCCACUUCUUGCCCAAUUUUUUCCUCAACUACAUUAAUUGGUCACAUACUUUAAAUUCUAAUUUUAAAAUGUAAUUAUAUUAGACACAACAAUAUUACUCCUUACAUCAUCAUUUAUCUUAACUCCUUUAUCCUUCUCUUUGAUCAUGACCAAUUGAUCGUUACUACAAAACAAUUUCAAACAAAUUUAACUAUAAUAACCACAAAAAAAUACAUUAAAAAACAUAUUCUUUUACAUAUUUCUAUUUUUCCUUACUAGUAAUGUAUCCAAACUCCAAUAGGCCUCUUUGGAUUUCGAACAACUUCAACAACAUUGCGUUCGCUCCUAUAAAUUAAAUCAAAUCAUUUAAGUCAAUUUUUAUAAUAUGAUUUCAAAUAUAAUAAAUCAAACAUACUUUCACUACCACUACAAAAUCCUCCCUAAAUCUAUGUACAUUUUAAAUGGUCACAAAAUUAUCAUAUCAAUUAUUUUCAAUCUCCAAUUAUGGAUUUAACCACAUUAUUUUUCAUUAAUGUCAUUGAUCCAUAAAUCUCACAAAAAACAUGAAAUAUAAUGGCUACAAUAUUGUAAAACACAUUAUCAAUACUCACAUUUUUUUUCCUUAAUAUAGAACUCGACAAAUAAUUACGACACAACCGUCUUUCGAUUAACAAAAAAUUGUGUCCUUUUUAGCUUUCUUUCUCUUAGUACUACACAUCUUCUUCUUCUUCUUCUUCCAGUUAUGUCUUCAAUUCGGGUUUUCAAACCACGAAAUUUAAAAGCCGAAAACACCCCUUAAACAAAAUAUAAAAUAUGAAGAAAAUACAAGGGUUAUGGAGAGGAGAGGGGGAAUGGGAAUAUCGUACUCUUUACUUCAAAACCCGAAAAAACCCCAAAUAUGAAAACUAAAUAUGGACAUAAUCAAAGGGGGUGCGAGAAAAUACAGAACUCGAAAAGAUGCCCCUCGAAACGGCUACAAUAUCUCACCCGAAAACACCCAAUAACACAAAAACAUCCAACAAUACAUGAAGACAAUUGAAAGCGCCUGAAAAUAACAGUCGAUGGAGAUGAGCAGAAAACACAAGUACUUGGAGAAGAACCGAGUAUGGAGAAGAGAGGAAAAUAGACGAAAAUAUCGGGAAACUCGGUAAAAAAGGGAGAAAACAGAAACUAAACUGAAGAUUAAUGGUGAGAGGGGUCUCUAUCUCCUUCUUUAGUGCUUUCUUUCGCCCAUUUCUUCAUUGUCUCGCAUUUGGCUCUUAGGUUUCUUCCGAAGAUAGGAUUUCCUUUUUUUUUUCUGGAGUAGACUCUGGUUUUUAGGUUGGUUUUGAGUGUAUUACGGGGUUGUUUGAGGUGGGUUUUGGAAGAUUAUGAGAUUGUGAGCGAAGAUUGAGAGAGGGUUGUGAUUGUGGAGUCGGGCUGGUGAUGAAUUUGGCACUAGACACUCCUUGAAUGAAGAGAGGCAAAGAGAGGAAACUCGACCCGACUGUCGAGGAUGAGUGGAGAUCAGAGCACGGGGACACAGCCGACUAUGGAGGAGAAGACGGUUGCCUAUGGAGGAGUGUGGAGAUGAGAGCACGAGACACAGCCAACCAUGGAGGAGAAGACGCUCAACUAUGGAAGAGAAAAGAGGGGAAAAAUGGGAAAAUGGGGGCUAAGAGGGGGAGAGAACAUGUAGAACAGGAAGGAAGAGAGAGAACAAACGGGAAAAUAGGCUGAGAGGGGGAGACAACAAGUAGAACAGGAGGGAAGAGAGGGAACAAACAAGAAAAUGGGCUGAGAGGGGGAGACAACAGGUAGCCAGUUUUUUUUUUUUUUUUUCAUUUUUUCUUUUUCUUUUGAAUGGCUGAGAUUUAAUAUCUUUCAUCCAAUGGCUACAAAAAAUCUGAGGCAAGUACCUCCCUCGACACCAUAGAAUUUUUCUAUAUAUAUAUAUAUAUAUAUAUAUAUAUAUAUAUAUAUAUAUAUAUAUAUAUAUAUAUACAUUUUCAAAAUUUCCUAAGGCACAUUUUUCAAGCUUAAGAUUCACAGGGCAAUAAUAUUGUAAUCUUGAUGUAAAAUGCAAGUGAGAUGGAAGGAGUAAUUAAUUUGUUUUAUUAUUCACCAUUUUUACAUGUUAAUAUAUAUAUAUAAUUCACCAAACACGUGUUUGAUCAUGUUUUCUAUGCUUGUUUUUAAAAACUAUUUUUAGUAUUUUAUAAAAAUAAAGGUAUUUAACAAAUUAUUUUUAAAACCAGUUUUUAAAAAUAAAAAAUAAAAACUAAAAAUCUUGUUUAAAUAAAUUAUUAAAUUUUUUUUUAAAAAAAAACAUUGUAAAUUCAAUAUAAUAUGAAUUCAACAAAAAAAACUUGUAACUUUUUUUAGGUUUCGAAAAUUUUGAGGGAAAUAAAAUAAAAAGAAAAAAAUACAAGAAAAUAAAAAAAAACUUUGCGGAAGUAAAUUUUCUCUUCCUUUUAAUUAAAAAAUUAUUAAGAAAUCAAAAUCUUAGCUGGAUCAUUGAGUCAGCGUGGGACUUCAAAACUAGCACAUGUGCAUGCCAUUAUUUAUUUAUUUUUGUACUUUCAAAGCAUAUUAUUUUUAUUUUCAAUAUUUUAAGAUGACGCAUUUUUCAAGCUUAAGAUUCUCUUUAUAAUUGUUGUUGGUUGUAUCAAGAUUAAUUUAAAUUUUAGAUAAAACUUAACACAACUUACAUUCAAUUUAUUAAAUUUGAGUUAAUAAUAUUAGACAAUAGAAUUAGCAUGUGAUCUUUUUUAUUUUAUAAUUAUGGCCGGCUUGAUUCUUAUAAAUAUAAAUAUGAAGAUUAAAUUAAAAAAUUAGAUUAAACUCGAUUUAAUAAAACUAGCUUAACUUUUUUGUUUCUUAUAAUUAUGGUCCGCAAGCUUAUUGUCGAUUUGGGAUGACAAUGGAUGAGUUUUUUUUUUUUCCUAUACUUGUGUUUAACAAGAUAGAUUUGAAAUUUAAAUAAACGAAUUAGAAGUAUGUGGACCCCGUAUUUCAGCUCAUGCGUUUCCACUCGAUGGCGAGCUCGAUUUUUUUAUUUAAAAAAUGAUUUUUAUUUAUUAGAAAAUGACUUGGAGUCACCACUUAUUUUGUUUUAUUUUUUAAAAGGGUAAAUAAAAUAAGAAAGAAAACUCUAAAUGUGACUCAUUGUUUUGGAAAAUGUGGUGUGUGAAAAACCAGAUCGGCCUCGGGGAUCAGGUUAAUUAUCGAGAAGGUACAGUAAAGACUAUAACACCCCUCUAAGUCCCUAAAGUUGAGUAUUUACUAAUAAAAUGAAGCUGAUGUGACAAUCAAUAAGUAAAUCAAUGGAUACUCAAAUCGAUCAUGCACAUAUGGAAAUCAGAACAUGCAUAGAGAAUGAUCAGAGUGAGAGUUGGUGCGUACCUGGGCAACGAGCCACCAUACGCUAUCAAGAAGUAAAGUUAGUAUACAAAUAAUGGACAUAAAACAUAACUCACAUGUCGCUAAAUUAAGUACGAAGUCAUCACAUGUCACAAUUCAAUCAAAUGGGUUUUCAAAGGAAACAUCCAAUAAUGUUGGGCCCCACCAAAACCCAUUUAUUUUGCAUGAACCAAUUCCAAUAACUCCAUUAUUCGGAAUUACAGGAUUAAAUUUAUGCUUAUUUUAAAACAUUUUAAAAAAACGAGGAAAAUGUAAAAAUGGCUUGUCGAAAAGAACAUAACAACCAAUAUUUUUAUUGAAAGAGAUGGAUUUUUGGGAUUUAAAAAUUCUAAAGAUGAAAAAUUGGAAGAUUCGAAAUUAUUUGAAAACUAGAAUUUGGAAAAUCAUUCACAAAAUAUUUUUAAAAAAAUGAGAGGAUGAAAAAGUAGAUGAUGACACAUGACCCAAAAGUUGCAUACCAAAUGUGGUCAUGCAACCGGAAGCAUGCAGGGGCGGGCCUUGAGUAGAAAGUCAACCUGAAGCACAACUGAAUUGAUGAGAUCUGCAUAACUCACUGUCAGAAUUAAUGACAUGCACCUCGCGGGUGCAGUUGCAAAAGUUUGAUCGCAUGUGCUGUAUGAUGCAGAUUCAUAUCCCCCAUAUUCCUGCUUUGCAUUUUCUCUAACACAUUUCUUCAGAAACACAUCCAUUUGACUCUCAAACCCAUAAGAUAUAUCUGCCAGCAUAGGAGGAUUAGGAAUUGAUGCAGAAGCAUGAUGCAUCACACCAAAAUCAAUAAAUGGGUGACCAAAGUGUUCAGAGUUGUAGCAACAGUCACAAUCCAAGCAAAAAUCUCCAAGCGGGACAAAACCAUAUUUCACUACCUUUAACAGUGAUUUUCAAUGGAUGAUCAAGAUCAUGUAACUCCAUAAAAAGAAAAUUAGCAGGGAACCACUGAUCUAGAGAAUGGUUGCCUUUAUGACUACUAGAAAAAUUAAAUCCAUCUUCAUUCAUCUCUGCCAGCUUGCCCAGAUCCCCUAAGUCCCUAAAAAAAAAUCAUUUCCUUCCACAUUAGGUAAUGUAUCAUCCACAUUUUGAGCAUGGCUGGGUUUAUCCACCUCAUUUUCAUCAUUCUCAAUGGAAACAAGGAUGUUAUAUUCUUCAAACAUGUCAAGCAUUUGAUAGAAGCUCAUUAUCAUCUGGAAGCUCAUAAAUAUCACCAUCUAGAACUGAUGGAAGCGCCAUGUCAGUAGAUGGAAGACUUCGAGAUGGACCUGAGUUAGAUGGAAACCCAAUAGGUGCGUCCUCAGGGCCAACCGUGUCUCUUAAAAUGGAAUUGCUUUGGCUGUCAUUAAGAAUUUCAUGUGAUGAUUCAGCAAGGUGACAUGCCUGGAAACUAAUUGAAGUAACGGCGGCAACAGGUCUUUCCUUCUCAACAGUCUCAGUUUUCAGCUGACUAUGGAGAUACCGAACUGAUCAACAUAAAACCAACAAGAAAUGCUCUACUCCCUGAAUAUUUCCUGACGUAACCUCCUUCAGAAUACCAUCGGGCAAAGCAAGAUUCGCAUACUAGGUAUCUGAAACUUGUAAGCUUUCCCCUGGACCAAACCCCUUAACGUGCCAGUCGUAUUCCACUCUCAAUCCAUUUGCAUCAGUGGCCUUGAACUUGUGCAGCGUACACUCCGGCGACAAAGAAGUUUCCGACGCAGCUUCCUCGUAGUUUUCAAAAGACCGACGCGUCAGCAUGCGAGGGUUUUCAUCAACGGCGAAUGCCCAGACCCGACUGGCAAUGAGCUUAUGGUAUCGGACGUCGACAGAAUCAUGAUUAUCAAUGAGAACAGUCGCCAGAUUGACGCACAGAAUCUUGCAGGGGAAAAGAUCAAAAGUGAAAAUUCUUGCGAUGGAUGGGAGUAAGAAAGAACAUCAUUCCUUAGUGGGGACCUCUGGAAUCUCUAACCCUUGCCAUAAUUUAUCUGUCUGUAUAAAAUUCCGACGGUGCUGGUAUCGAAUCUUGUCUGUCAGCAUUUAGAAAUGGCUCAUAGUGGCAGGCUCUGGCUCUGCAUCUGAACAAUCACAAGUGCCGAAAAUGAAAAACCCAGCCAAGAUUAAUAAUAGUGCUACUGCUAUUAGCGCUGGCUGAUGGCGUCGAUGGAGACGAGAACAAGGCCUAAGGAAUAGUGGGAAAAUUUGCACUGACACUGACGUAUUCAUGUUUGCCAUUCUUCAAAGCGGUGGAAAAGAAUGCACCGAUCUGCUCAUGUACGUCUUCCAAGCCAUUCACCACAUAGGAAUAUCCACGUCGACACCUUGGCUUUUUCUGGAUUACUAUUGGGACUAGUCUUGAGGGGGCCAGAGGCACCAGAUCAGUAAUAUCCUUCAAUGUUGAAUGCACACGUGAAAGAACUUGGUCUUCCCUUGCAAGACCACGUGGCUGCUUCAGUAAAUCCCCGUUGACAGUAGCUUCUCAUUGUCCUGUCCGAACGCUCGUGUUCACCAUUGAAAUCAGUGCAAAUGGGUCAUCAACUGACUGGUACCGUACUAAUAAGGCUUACAUCAAUCUCGGGAGUGUAGCUGUUGCUCACCACAUGGAAACACCCAUCUCCGCACCUGGGCAUUCUCUGACCUAACCAUCUCCAAAACGGUUGAACAUUUGUCAUUUGCAUUACGCUGGUGCACCUGAUUUUGAAAAAUAUUCCCAGAACUGUCACGGAUUAUACAUCUUUUCGAAUGAAGGUAUUUGGGCUGCCUCUAACUGAUAGAUAUUGGACUCACAAUGUCUCUUGCAGCAAUUGCUAUCUCACAUGUGCCAAUUUCUUUAAUUUGUACCCAUUUAUGGGCAUCUCCAUGAAAGGGUCUUUACUGACUUUAAGUAGCUCUUUCAAAGGCCAACCUAUGGAUUACUUGGGUGCAAUUGUGAGCUCCAUCUGGUAUUGCUUGGAUCUUACCGGCAAUGCAAGGACUGAAUCAUUACGAGCAGCAAGUUCUUCCAUUAAAAGCCCUUUUUGCCUUAUUUAUAACCAGUUUCCGCAACUUAGGAACCUCAUCCAGAAAUCUAGUCUUGAUCCAACAAAUCUCGACGUUCAAAGCAAGCACAGAUGCUCAAUUUUUCCCGUUGAAUGCAGUCUUCGUUUUCUAAAGAACGACUUCGAUGCCGGCUUCAAUGAUGGCGCCCGGAUGAACGAAAACGUCAUCACCGGGACAUUGGGACUCUUCUGCUUAUCGAUGCCACACUUGUAGCAGUUCAUGCACAAUAGCUUCAGAUCUGUCUAAGAGAUUACAGCCUGCAUGCAAGGUGUUUCCUCCAGCAAAUGCCGAAAUCCUGUGGUGGCGUUCCUGUAAAUGCUGAAUAGGAAGAGUGAGCAUCGCUUUUAUUCCAAGAAUCUGUGCGAAUACGCUGAGACGAGCCAACUCAACCCAGUUCGACACAAAGAAAGGAUGAUUUGUUUUAAACCCAAAACUCAUCUCUCUAUCAACCAACAACUGCGCAUGAAGGGCAUGUGGUGUAGAGAGAGAAAUGUGGUGAUAUGCAUGGGGGCAUAGAAGGUGACCAUGGGUGUACGACUCUCAGAAGCAUGAGUAAGGAAUGGGUAUGGGCAGCAUGAAGGAUGGGUAUGGGUAGUAUGAAAGAUAGGUAUGGGGGGUGAGUAUGUUUGGUAGACUUGAAGAAAAAUGGGUAUGAAGAGCAUAUGGUAUAGAGAGAUGAAUGAGUGGGGAAUGGGUGGUGAGCGAGUUAGUGAGAAGAAUGGGUAUGAAUGUGAACGGGGUGGAUGGAAAUAUAUCAAUGAGAGAGAACGGGUAUCUGGGCAUGCUGAAGUAUGGGGAUGAAGGUGGCCAUGCGCAAUAGUCUCUACGUACGUGGAUAGGAAGUGAGCAAUGGGUGUGGGAAUGAAGCGGGUUGUUGCAGUGGAUGUGAAGGAUGAGGAACGAGUAUGAGGGAUGAGUUUGGAGGAUAGGUAGAGUGGAUUUGAAAUAUGAAUGGUGAACGGAGAUGUAGAGAAGGGAAUUUAAUAGAUGGGUGGAUAAUGAAACAAACUUCCCGGCUGCGUCUUCAUACCCUGAAUUCAGGUUAGCAUCGUCAUAGCCACCUCGCAUGUGCAUACGCAUGUGGCGGCCUUCUUUGUCAACAACCCCACGAACAUGGUGCUGCCUCCACACUCAGCGAGUGAGUGAUCAAUCAGGCGCAGUAGGGCAGGGGGUAUAAGCUGUUUCAAAGCCCCAAGAACCAUAUCCCACGACACUAUUCCAUCUGAGUCUGAAUGCAUUGAUUAAACUGGGCCAUCCACGGACACAGCCUGUGACAUGAAGUUUAGUGGCAGUGAUAGCUUGAUAGUGAGGGCAUGCUUCCUAGAUGGGUCCAUGACUUCUUCAUUGGGUCGUGAACCUCAUACCCACCAUCGCGGCCCACCCACAGGGCCUUGUAUCCAUUACCAUCAAUUUCAACAAAUGGAAUUUCAAACUCAAGUGAGUCCACUGAAGGUAAACAAACGCUUUGCCACCUGAUAUUUAAGAUACUACCAUGUGUCAACUGCAAAUAGAUUGCUGCUUCCCCUUAGUGCUGAGGGGACUCUACUAAACCCAAACGUCCUGAGUUGUUGACAAUCUUUUGUGAGACUCCUUUCAUCCUAAAAAAAAAAUAACCUCUAUCUUCGUGCACAGAAGAACUCCUUCUUUCAAAGUCCUAGUCAUGAUUUUUUUCCAGUAGAAGUAGGUAUCAGGACAUCCAACGUCCUUUUUGACCUGUAUGAGAUACUCCUUGGAAUACCGGUCUGAAAAGAGUAAUUGAGCACGGGCUUAGCUCCAGCUACUAUAAAUCUUCUAAUCUCUUUAGGAAUGCAUCAGAGGAAAUGUUCCUAUGGAGCACUAAAGAUCUUAGGUGGUUCAGUUCCCAAACCCAACUGCUCCCCAAGAAGAAAUCAGUCUUUCAAAUUUAAUGGGAUAAGAUUGCAGGAAGGGGAAUCUGAUCCAAGAGCAUUUAAAUAAGAUCCAGGAGGUGUAUAUGCAUUGGCCUGAGCAUUCGGUGACUCUUUUCUGUAUCAUAACCACUAAGAGAGGAGCCGUCUCUUUCACGCAAACUAGAUUUCCAUUUUCAGCUUUUCAAAUUUCGUUCAACUUUAAAGAGACCCGGUAUUUAGAUCCACAAAGCAACAGUGAAAACAACCACCAUUUCUAGCUCAAUUUUUGUUUUUGUUAGGUAUAGGCAACCUCCAUUCUUAUCAGUAUUCCCAUCGCUGGUGGACAGCAAUUCCGAUUAACAUUAAAAUGCAGAAGCAGUUUGAAGAUAGAAAAUGAAUGUAAAUAUAUAAUAUUACACAACAUUAAACUCCCUUUUGCCCUGGGUCUCCCCUGAAAAUAUUAAAACGAAAAAACUACAUUUUUUGCAAUAGUAGGGACUUGAACCCAAACCAAUUAUUAUCCAUUUUAACAAUGACAAUUCUGAAUCAUUAGGUUAAAACCCACAUUUGUUUCACGGAUUAUCUCCUUGAACUAAAUUGCUAAAAGGUUGGUUUUUGUUUUUUGAUUAAAUUAAAAAAAUCAAAAUAUAUUCAAUUUAAUUAUAUUGAUUGAUAUAAAUAAAUACCCAAAAGUGAAACAUAUAUAGUAAAAGUUUUUCCAUUGAACUACUGUGAUACAAGGUUUGCAAAAAAUAGGCAAGUAGCAAUAGAAAUUAUUAUAAAAUCAUUGGUUUAUAAAAAUAUUAAAAUAAAAGUAUUUUAGUCAUAUCUUAAAUGAAUAGUAGUCAGUCCUUUAUAUGAAAUAAAAUAUAUUUCUCUUUUUAUAUGAAAUUGGUGGGGAUAUAACCAUCAAACAUCAAACCAAAAAGAGAAACCAGCCAUUUACAAGAGAAAAUAUCAAGAAUAUUAGAGAGAACAAAAUAGAGCAUGUAUAUGCAGGCAAUCGUGUUCAACUAAAACAACCUUGUGGCCCUAGAUGUCCACAGCAAAUCACAAAAUAAUAUUCAUGGAUGAUGUUGGACAUUAAGGGAUGGAAACGUAUCAAGCUCAAGAUAGCCUUGCUUGGAAGUUCACAGCGCGACCUUCCUUUCCUCAGCUAUCUUCUUCCUCCAUCCUUUCCUUUUCUCAAGCUAUCUCUCCUAAAGAAAAUGCUAUGUCACUUCCUCUCUCCUCCUAGGCUGCUCAUUCUGGUUCUUCUCUAAAAAUGAAUACGCUUCUCCCUUCCCUACCUCUGGCUUCCUCCCUAAACUCAAAGAACGCACCUCAAAAAUCUCUCCCCUCUCUGUUUCUCUCCUAUCUCUGUUUUCCUCCUCCGCGGCAACGAAAACACCCACCUCUCAAAAAAGUAUCACUCUCCUGUCUUUCCUCUCUCUCAUACGCUCCUCCUCUCCGACCUCUGGCUUUCUCCCCAAGCAAAAGAAUUCCCCCUCUGAAGCUAAAGGAAUUCCUCUUCUCUCGUCCGACUUGCCCCCCAAGAAAGAAUACCCUCAAAAUAUCUCUAAAAAACCCCCUCUCCAAACGCACCACCCUACAACAACCAAAACACCACCUUGCCUCUACCAGAAUCUGCCUUCUCUCUCUCCUACGCUCCUUCAUAACGACUUCGACUUUUUCCAGAAUCUUCUUGACACUAACGUAAUUCCAUGAUAGGCGACCACGAGGUAGCACUUGCUCUCAAAGAGCCCUCCAUCUGGCAAGUGAGCUGCAGAAAAUGGGAGAAAAAUGAGCCCCAAACGGGGUCUACAAAGUGGGUUUGAGAUUUUUUUUUUUUUUUAAAAAACCUAAGAUGAGUUUAGAACGGGUAUUACUUAGUCCCGCCCACCCCACCUUGAUUACAUAUAAAAUUAAUUUAAAAUGUUAAUUUAAUUUAAUUUUUAUUUUCCUAUUUUUAAUAAAAUAAGUUAUAAAAAAUUAUAAUAUUUUAAUUAUUUAUAAAAUAUAUUUAUUUUGAUAUAAUUAAAAAUAUGUAUUUUAAUUUAUUUUAUUUUUUAAAAAAAAAAAAGUUAAACAUGUUGCCUAUGGGAAAUUCGCAUACUAGUCCACCUUACCCCGUCCCGUCUAAUUUUUUUAAUAAGACGGGUAUGAGAAUUAUUUUGAAUAAACGGGAUAUGAUUGAGAUGAGUGCAAUCCAUCCCCAACAUGUAUAGCUUGCCAAUCUCCAACGUCAAGAUGUAUUUAAUAAAAGAUUAAGUAAGGAACCUAUUUGCAACUUAUUAAAUUUGAUUAAUUUAAAAGGUUAGUGAAGCAAAUCCAUUUGCAAAAAUUAAAAAUGCAUAGAUUUUUAACUAAUUUUAAAUAUAUUUGAUUUUUUAUUUAUUUAUAUUUUCCAUAUUAUAACCCAAUAUGAAAAAAAUCACUUUCCUUAUUAUUUUUUUCUUUAUUACUUUUUGGAACAAAUAUAACCUAAGACUAUGUCUGGUUUCCUUAAAAUUUAAGAGAAAAUAUGUUAAGGAAAGAAAAAACAAAAAAAAUAAAAAAAUGAAAUUCAAAAUCAAUAAUUAUUUUAUAUGUUUCUUCAAAUUCAUUUAACUUAUUUUUCCCCAUUAUAUAAAUAUUAAAUGAUUUUAAAAUACAUAAAUUUCUAACUAAUUUAAGUAAUAUUUGAUUUUCUUUCAUAUUUUCUAUAUUAAAAUUAAAUAGAAGAAAACAAUUUUUUUAACAUUUUUUUCUUUCCUUAGCAUUUUCCUAAAGCCAAACAUAACAUAAAUGUUUUGAAUUGAAAACUAAUGUCAUUGUAUAACUUUAUUGAUUGGUUGGAUCCUUCCUAAGGGAGGGAGUUGUUUUUUGUUUUCCCUUCCAUUUUUUGGCCAUCUUUCGAUAGCCAUUGUAUAUAUCUUGUGUGCUUUUUCUAUAUUGUUGAUAUUGGAGGAUAGAUUUUAAUAAUAUAUAUAUAUAUAUAUAUUCUUAACUUCUUGUUUUUAUUUUUAAUGUGAAAGCACUUUUAGAUUUAGCAUGCCCAUAUUAUUAGUUGUAAGACAAAUGAUAGAAUUGAAAAGAAUGAUUUGGGCUUUGUUCUCAGAAGAAACAACGUUAGUAUUAUAAGUAGAGAAAAGGCUACAAAUUAUAGAUGGGAGAUCCUCCCAAUUAGAAGAUGUUAUGAGAGGAAGGUAGAAGAAAGAAUGACAAUAACAAAAAAUAGACACCAACCCAAGGCCCACAGCACAAAUAUCCAAGUCCACCACUGAAACACAAAACAAGCAAGGGUGAAGGUGAAGACAAGAUGAAAGGCAUUUGGCUUCGAGGGGAGAUAUGAUCUAUUGGCGAACCUAUCAGCUUCCUGAUUGGUUGCUCUAGACUUUCAACAGAAGGAGCAUCUCAUGUCUCUAGACAGCUUCUCUAUCCUUUUCAACCAAUGGUUAUGUCUCCAUAAACAACCCUUCUUUUAUUUGUGGCAGGUCGAUUUUACAUCUCAAACUUGCAUGGCAUAUUGCUGUUGAAUUGAAACCCACAAAUUUGAUUUUGGCAUUAUGGUCAUCCCCCUCUUAUGUGCUCACAAUUUUUUUGUAACUUAUUUCAUUUUCUGCCAGGUUUAGCCCUGAAGCUCUAAAUGGGCUAUUCAUCAAGGGAUUGGUUGGCUGGUUUUUGCAAGUCUCACUGCUGAAAGUAUCAUUGCUUUCAUUGGGUAUUGGGGAGGCACCCUUUCUGGACAUUGUGGCAUAGCAGGGUACACUUUCACAGGGAUGUGCUUGGCUGUCCUUGAGAGGGAUCAUGUGGAGUAUCUCAUAUUAUUUCUUGAUGCCCUGGGCAUGCCUAUGCAUGGGAAUAUUCUUGGUAAAAACAAUAAAGAGAGUCCUCUUUGCAGAGGUGAGGAGUUAUGUUUCCAGCAAGCAUCACUAUCUCUUGCUCCUUAUUGCUUUGGCUCAGUUCCCACUUUUCAUAUGGCUUGGCAACAUUAGCCUUCAUUGGCUUUUCUGAACUUCAUCUUUGAUAACUGUAUCCGGAAACAAUUUGCUUCUGUGGAAGUCUUAAAAUGUUGUAGUUUUGGUCUAUGAUGUCGGCCAAGUGACCAUUCUCCAAGACUAGAAAUAUUCUUUAAACUUAUGCUAAAGCUUAAAUAUGAUUCAAUUGUUCUCCUAGUUAAAACAGAAACCAAGCACUUGGCUUCCUUGUUCAGAAUUAUUUAUCCUUUUUUUCCCAAUUGAUUGGAAAUGAACUAGUUUAGCACUUGUAAUUUGACAUGUUCAUUUAAAGCAACUGUAGUUAAUAAAACAAUUGAGCAUGAACUGGAGUUGCCGAUGGAAUCCUGAAAGUGGAUGACAUAAAUUACUUGGUGCCUUCUUCUGGUACAUGAUACUCCUGAACUGAAUGUCAGCAUGGUAUUCAUGAAUCAAGUUUCAAAACAAUUGAGCUCAUAUAGAUCUUGCAUAACUGGAAAUCAAAGUGAAUCUCAUGUUGUUUUUGAUGGGUUUACAAUAAAAUCAAUGACAUCACUAUGGCCUUUGUCAAUGAUUGGGUUUUAAACUCUGGUUCAAAACAUCCACUGCAGUGGGAUAAUGGCCUUAACAUCCAGUGAUGACUUCAUUUUAGACUCCGGUUCAAAACAUCCACUGCCAUGAGAUAAUGGCCAUAACAUCUGAUGGACCUCGUUUUCCCAGACACACGGAGAUGGAUUAGGUAGGGGUGACUCUGAAUCACUUGCACUGAGUCUACUUCGUACGAAGUCUCUGAGGUCAGUUGAAGGUUGUCUGGUGAUCAGCUAGAUAAUUCCAAAUACUUGACGCGAGGCUAGAUGCUUGAGGGUAAAUCAAGAGGCACAGCAGUUGUAAAUCGUCUCCCCAUAUGGCAAAACCUAUUCUGUCACAAUGAUAAAAAGGUGUUUAAUUAUGGCAGGUAAUGGAGCUUCAGGCAAUAGGAUGUGAGGCAGUGAGAGGUCAAGAUAGAGCAACAUACAUUUCUUGCCCAUGGAAUGAUGCCCAUCCAAUAUAUACAGACUGCAAUUUUUACCAACAUUGAAGAAAGUUAGCCUCUCAUUAAGGCACUAAGAUCACAUUUAGAAAUCUCAAAGAAUUCUGAGAAUGUGUCAAUGCCUUGCAUCAUUCCAUUUAGAAAUCUGAGUCCCAGAAAGGUGUUAAUGCCGAUGUUCCAAAAUUUUGAAACCGUGUUGCAAUCUAUUCUCCUGCCACAGUAACAAGAUUUCUUUACAAUGAACAGUCGUGAUAAUUUCACAUCUGCUAAUGCUAGCAUAAGCCACAUUGAGAAAACAAUUGAUCCUUGGAUUAUUACCAAUCUCUAAGGAAUUGAAAAAGGCCAGAUGGUCAAGCUCCAAAGUUUUUGACGACAUUCCCGGUUCACCAAUCAACGAUAGUAUCAUACGUGAAACAGAAGACACAAAGUCUGAAACAUUCAAAAUCAAAAGCAUCUGUUUUGAUUAUUUAGCAAGAAAAAUAACAUAAUGGAUCUUAUUUGUAUGUAUAUCAAGUUUAACAACACGCCAUUGCAUGACUCCUUAAUUGGCUUCCAAUAUUCAGAUAAUUCAAAGGCACCAUUAUGUUUAAUUCCGAUAUAAAAGACUGUCAAAGAAGGGGGAUAUAAAUUUGUACGAGAGUUAACAAACCUCUGGUUUUUUGUCAGCAAAAUCUCAUUAACUGGAUUCCUGAAAAACGUAGUAAAAAUAAGUAAACGCUCAUUAGAGUUAAAUUCCAAAUCCAAAGUCAAUAGAAGGUUGUUUAUUGUAGAACUAAACACAAUUACUAAACCUUAUAAUGCAAGAACACAAAAUUGUCCAGAAACACAUUUUCCAUCUUAUCAGAUUCAAUUUAUGGCCUUCCUGCAUAACUGCAUUUUAUAUUUGAAAGGUAAAUCAGACAUUUUUUAUGUGAGUAAUAAGAGAGUAAAUGGCAUAAAAGGCAAACCAUACAAAUGAAGAAGUUGUAAACAUAUAAGAGUGCUUACUGAUCACUGUUGAAUGAUAUUUAAUCGUCUCUCUUUCAAUCUGCAAGAGUUUAUACUCAGUGAAUCAUAGUAUGCUACCAAGAAUAAUGCCUCAUUUCCUCGUUGUUGGAAAAAAAUGUAGUGAAAAACAUGUAAGUUGCCAAUAGAAAUAUACUAGUUUAAAAAUAAAGCAUUUCAAGUUACAUAAGGUUUGUACAAGUUGUAACUGACCUGAAAAAAAUCUGUAUGUUUGAUAAAGCUCAUUUUAAUGAAUCCUAACAAUGGUUUAAAAGACAUCCAAAAGGAGGAAAGCUGGAUCAGCAUUGCGCAUCCACCUAAAAGGAGUAACAUGAAAUGCAUCAAUAUAAAAUGAGAUGAAAAGAAAAUAGUAGUGCUCAUAAAAAUCCUUUCUGCAAAAUAAUGCAUAAAGACGACCAAUUCAUCAAUGUAAAACAAAUACAAACUGUUCUUUAUAUAGGUCAUAGUUCCAUCAGAGAGCAAUUUCAAACAAUCACAACAACUGAGCACAAGACUUUAUAACAUGGAUGACAAACCAGUCCUCAGAAGGAACCUAAAGAAAUGUGUGAUUCUCGACUCUCCAAGAGAUGUAUGACUAUUCAGUCUUACUGGCAGCUUCUCCAAGAUAGCACAAAAAAUAGCUUCAUGUCUACUGAAGACAGGUGAACUAAGCAGUGUCCAAGGAUUGGUGCUUAGGGAACACCUCAAGUCAUAAACAUAGAAAAUUUAGAAAAAAAGUUAGCAAAUAUAGGAAUCUAAAAAAACCAAUAAAAAUGUAAAAUAAAAAUUGUAACUUACCAUGAUCUUGCUAAGCUGUUGUUUAUCCUCUUUCUACACUCUUAACAUCAACAAUAGAAACAAAAACAAGUAGCAAUAGGAAUUUGCCACAGUCACUAUAGACAUGGAGCCUCCAAAUAUAAAACCCGAAUCCCCUUCGACAAGAAGAAAAAUACUUAUACUCUGACACCUGGGACAUGCACCUUUUAAACCUGCAAACUCCAAAAGAAGAGAUAUGGUUUCAUCAAAUCAAAAAUUUGAGAAACUAAAGCAAAACCAUUUUGUUUCUGCUCAAAUUUGUACAACUAGGCAUAUGUAAAUGUGACAGUAGCUCACAUUUUGGAAACCAAGUGGGAUAUAUUAGAAUAGAUACAAGCUGCUGUUGUUGCUAUGUAAUAAUUCCAUUAGGUAGUUCUGGGCUAUCGCAGUCACAGAGAAAAUACCACUUGGGAUAAAUUGAAAACCAGUUCUUGUGAAAGACAAGUUUCAUGCACUGAAUGGUUCCCAACUUUCAAAGGAAAUAAAAGAUCAUACAACCUUAUGAGCGGCUUCCCCAGGAGGGCAAGAAGAGGUUCUUAUUUAUUAAAGAUGCAAAUGAAAUCUUGAUUCAGAGGACCUCUGUAAAGCACUGAAGAAUCUAUCACAAGUCAUAAAAGGAAGAAAAUUUUACAAAAAUAGUCCUUAGAACACAAUAAUAUAUAGAAUCAACUAUAUAAAUGAAAGUCACGCACCACAAUUUUGCUAGAUUGUAUUUUAUCCUCUUUUAGUCGUACUAAAAAAUGGUAAUAAAGUGCCAAUGAGCCUUUGAUAUAGGAUGAACAUUCCAAUCAGUUAGCACAAUGAAAAGACCACAUGACCUCCUGUGAUACUUUGCACCCAUCCUUUUGACACCUGCAUCAUCAAUGUAAACAAUUUGGUACAUAAAACUGUAAGACUUAUUAUUACCGUUCAGAGGUAGCCGAGUUAAAUGGCAACAAAUUGCAAAUAUAUGUAUGGGAAAUAGAAAGUGAUAUUGAGGAGAGAAAGAGGAAGAAUUGCAUGUUGGGAAUGAGCAUCCAGUGGACAAGAAGAAAAUUCAAGAAAAUUAGUCAUCAAAAUAGAAAAAUAAAUAAACAAAAUAUAUAGAUGACGGUGACUCACUGUAGUCUUGCUGGGUUAUUCUUUGUCCCCUGUUGACACUCAAAAAAAAUAAAAAAAAGAGCAACAGGGGACAACUGGAACUAGCUGCAUUCACUCCAUACUUUGAAGUCUUUGAUAUAAUACCUAGAGUUCCAUCCUCUUUGAGAACCUGCAUCAUAAAUGUAAAAAUUUAAUAACCAGAUGACAAGACACUGGAUAGUAGCUAUGAUGACAUCUAAUAAGUUGAACUAAAAAAAUCAUGGCUGCACAGGGGAAUUGAUAAAGCCAUCUAAUUACCAUAGCAAUCGAACUUUAAUAAACUGCAUUUGCUUCUAGUAUAGCCUCCUCUGUAUGUCAGCCUGAACUCUAUUCUGGAAAUCAGAAAAUUAUACUUAAAAAAUGCAAUUGAAUAGUACAACUGAUGGAAUAAAAAUCAGAAGACAUUGCUAACCAGUGGCUAUUGCUAAAUAUUCCACCUGCCCUUGAAUGGCAUAAAUGGAUCCUCUCUUAUCCUUUUUAUCGUUGUAAGUAUCACAUAUCACCUCUUCAACUUCAAUGGUCACUGAGAACUAAAAAGAACAAAGGAAAAAGGAAAAGUGUGUACCCCAUGGAGAUUAUGGACAAGAUUUACUAAAUAGAAUUGGAGAGGCAGAGGCAGUGAUGCAUACCUAGAAUUGUGUCAAAUUGAAGAGAAAACCAAGCUACAAGCCAUUUCAAAAGCCACUUCCUAGGCAAAUUUUUAACAAAAAGUCUAGUAAGAAACGUACAAGUAAUCAAUUGGGGAAAUUGCUAUAAUGUAUAUGAGAGAUUGAACGCGGUAUUGAGGAGUGAAAGAUAAAGAACAGGCGUACCUUGUUUAAUGUAAAGAUGGGAGAGGGUUGAAUGGUGUUUGCUUCUAUGUUCUGCAAUCCCUCAACUUAUUAUUGCUCAAAGACGUUUUUAUCAUCUAUUUCCACAUAGGGAAUGUGGGCGAUGUUGGGCCAAUCUUGCCCUUUCCCUUUCGAGCACCUUUGUUUUAGGAGCGGGCAGUCUGUGAUAUAUAGUCGUGAAAGCGUGUCAGGCAGCCCUUCCCUUGGGCAAAACGACUGAAGCUUAGGGCAACGUUGGAUCCAUAGAUCUUCAAGUGAGGUGAGGGUUUGGAGAGCCAGGGAGGAUAGAGAUUUCAGAUUCUGGAAAUCUUGAAUGGAAAGAAAGGUGAGGGUUGUAGGAAGAAUCGGUGGUCUUUGACCAUCUGAAAAGGAGGCAACUCGUGGAAAUAUGCCACCAAUGGUGAGUUCUUUAAGAGAGGUAAGUGUGGCAAGGCCCCAUCGGGAUAGGGGCAUCUUGAUAUUCUCACAACGGUAGAUACCAAGUGAUGUAAGAGCAGUGAGGUUUUGCAGUUGAUGAGGUAGCAGCUCCACAUUCUCACAAUUAUUAAUCUCCAGUUCUCUGAGUUUGUAGAGGCAAUCUGGUACAAUUUUGAGACAGGGAUACGACCGGAUACUCAAAUAUUCAAGUGAACUAUUAUUGGAGUGAAACGUCUCCUUUGAAAUCGACUCCAGUUGUGCACAAUCCCAAAUCUCAAGUUUCUUAAGGGUGGAGGGAAACUUGCCUGUGGGGAAGAAUGUGAGAGAUGGACAUUUCCAAAUGUCCAAGACAUGAAGACCACCACUGGUGGCGGUGGUGGUGUUGGAAUCAUGGUGCAUCAUUCCCCCCGGUAGAGACUCUAGCUUUUCACACCUCCAUAUCUUGAGUUCCUUGAGCGUGGUGGGUAACUCACCUUCUGGAAAACCAAUGAGAGAUGGACACGUAUGUAUGUGCAAGUAUUCAAGGAGACACACGUCGCUACCGUUAUUACUACCGUCUUUCAUCACCAUCAUCCAAUCAGGUAGACAUCGUAGACCUUCACAACUAUGAAUAACAAGACGUCUAAGCAUGGGCGGGAACCCCAACUCUGGAAAUGACACCAGCUUUGGACAAUCAUAGAUUUCCAACUCUCCAAGACAUGUUAGCCUGUACAGUCCAUUGGGAAGCUUCUCUAGGUUAUUACACCACCUAAUUUUCAAAGAUUGAAGCUUGCUAGGCAGCUCGUGCUUUUCCUUUUCUCCCAAGGAUACAAGCUCGGGACAACUGCUAGUUUGCAACUGCUGAAUACCAUCAAAUCCAUUUUCCCACAAACACGUCAAUUUAUCACAUCUAUCAAUGUCUAAAACUUGAAGCCCCGACAACAAUUGCAUACAACCUUCAUGUAAUCUGGUGAGCCCUACCAUUCUAUCAAUUCCUAACUCGGUGAGUGAAGGCAAUUCCAAUCCACUCCUUAGUACCGCCUCAUUGCAAUCUUGUACUCUUAAUUUAGAAAGAGAUGGAAGCCUUUCAAGUGGAGACACCAACUGUGGGCAUGUCCCAAUGGAGAAAUGUACAAGGGACGGUAGGUUAGUGGGUAGUUUCUUGAUUAAUUUGGGGCAAUUUAUGAUUUCAAGGUGAAGGAGACAAGGAUAUGGCUCUGAUAAAGAUGGACUCUCCCAAUCUUCCCAUUGUGACAUAGCCGAAAAAGAUAGAGACUCUAAGGACGGGAAAGGCUUAUUGGGAAGACAAGUCUCUCCAUAAAACUCUCUACCCACAAUUUUUACUUCUUUUAACCCUUCAAUCCUUACGUGUUUGAGCAUGGGUAACCACCCCAAACACGGUAAAGAUGUGCAAUUUCUGCAAUUCACCAGAUUUACAUCCACCAUCUUCGAGAAUGAAACAUCUCCUAUCCAAGGGGGAAAUUCUGGACCACCAUAAUACUCAAUUUUUAGUUUGUUCAAAUUGAAGUGUGGCUGUAAAGAGUCAAGUACAUCUUUUUGAUUCCUUGCAUUGUGUGAAUCAUUCAACCCAGCACUCCACUCUAUCGUCAAUUCUUCAAGCUUCUGCUUCUUGUUUAGACUAGCAUCCCUUGCAUCUUGAACAUUUGCUACAUUUUCCAACUUUGAAAUGCAAAGUCCCCCUUGAAGUUGGGGCAUAUUCCUUAACUCCUUUACAUUCAAACCAUUGUCUUUACCCACAAUAAAAUUAGACAAUACUUGUAAGCCUUUUAAUUUGCAAAUUCGUGGAGGCAUUUCUUCUAGAUUUGUAUUGGUCACAUCAAGGUGUCGAAGAUUAUUUAGGUUUCCAAUGCUCAAAGGCAACCUAAUAAGCUUCCGACAAUUUGAUAAUAUUAAUGUCUCUAAGUUAUGGAGGUUACCCAGUGAAUCAGGUAAUCGUUUGACUUUUGUUCUGGAUAAAUUAAGAUACCUAAGGUGUUUCAAAUCACCAACUGAACUUGGUAUCUCACUUAUCCGAUAACCACUCAAUAAAAGCACCCUUAGGCGUCGUAGCUUGGGCAUCAAUCCCUCAAGUACCUUGUUGCUUAACCAAUUAUAAUCCCAUAAUGGAUCAAUUGGUAAUGCAAUAAACGUACGCAAAUUCUCCAUCCCAUAAAAGGCUUCAAACUUUUUGAAGAUAUCGUAUCGGUCACGAAUGAAUGAUGAAUGACGAGCCUUUUUAGAAAUAGUCUGCUGCUGAUUACCUUCCAAAUUCUUUUCCAGAGAAAAACAUAUUUCUCCACCAACAAAUUUUGCUAAAUCGUUAACGAGAUCAUGCAUUACGAAUUGGGAUUUAUUGCUACUUGAUGGUUGAAAAAAUGAUCGAGACAACAAUUCCUGGAAGUAGUUAGCGCCUAAAUCUUCAAUUUCGAUUUGUUGCCUAUGACAUUCUAAGUGUUGAAUUAGACUCUCUGCCAUCCAUAAGCGAAUCAGUUCUCUCUUAUCAAAUUCAUAGUCUUUCGGAAAUAUUGCACAAUAACUGAAACAUCUCUUCAGUGGAGAGGGGAGGUGAUUAUAACUUAAUCUUAAUGCAGGAAGAAUACCGCAUUUAUCACUCGGUAAAUCCCAUAUUUUGCUAGUCAAAAUAACAUUCCACUCAUGUUCUCUCUGUUCAUGGCGUAGAAGACUACCGAGUGCUGUUGCUGCCAAAGGCAAGCCUCCACACUUUUUUACAAUUUCCUUGCCGAUCAAUGCCAAAUUGGAAUGCUCAUCAAUGUUGCUAUUUCCAAAUGCAUGUUUCUUGAACACCGACCAACACUCAUUAUCUGAUAAAUUUUGUAGCUCGUGCAAGUUCUUAUCUCCUUCCAUUAUAUUUGCGACCUUCUUACUCCGUGUCGUGACUAUGAUUUUGCUGCCUCGUGAACCCGACAAAAAGGGAGACUGUAAGCAACGCCAAUCAUUAUAGUUGUCAUUCCACAUAUCAUCGAGAACCAGAAGAAAUUUUUUUCCCUUCAAUUCCUCCCCCAAUUUAUCUUGAAUUUGAUGGAAGUCUAGUGAAUCAGUAUUGCUCUGAGAAGUACUGACCGAGUUGAGGAUUGUCUUGGUUAUUCUCACUGCAUCGAACUGAUCUGAUACACAAACCCAGGCCUUUAGAUCAAAAUGCUUGGCUGUCUCAGGAUGAUCGUACACCAACCUUGCUAGUGUGGUCUUGCCCAUACCACCCAUGGCCACGAUGGAAACUACAGAAACAUUGGUUUCAAUGGGCUCAUCCCUAAGCAGCAUAUCCAUUAUAAUCUGUUUAUCAGCAUCCCUGCCAUAAACCCAAGGUUCGUAUACCAGAGAUGUAGUGAGUGGCCUUUCCCAAGUAGACUGGGUUAUAGCAGCCACCUUGUCCAAACCAAGCCCAGCCUUUUGGGCAUAUAUAGCUUCUAAUCGGGUGGUAAUGUCCUUUAUCUCGCACCCCAUCUUAACAUUACGCAUACAACCAAUAGGAGUGAAAGUAGUACAACAAGUAGGGAUAAACUUGCGUACCUUGCUUGUGCUGCCUUCACCAUCAGCUUCCGCCAUCACCUUUCUUCUUAAAGCUUCGUAGGCAAACUCGUCCAAGAUGUCCUCCAUGUCAUAAACCAAAUCCCUCAGAUCGCCCAGCCACGUUUUCACCGACUGCUUCGUGAUCUGCUUCUCCUCCGCGUCAUUCAGCACUUCAUCAAUCUCCAAUAAUUUUUUCUCCCAUAUUUCGAGCUCGGCGCGGAUUUUCUCUUGGCGUGCAAACUUGAGAUCAGGGGAGCGCAGUUGGUUAAACAAAGCUUGAAGGGAGUAAGAAAGAACAACCUCUGCAACAACUUCCAUGGUUCGUUGGUAGGGAAAGAGAGAGGUAGGAUACCAAGUGGAAACAAGAGAAUAAAAAACAAUUGGUUUGCUCUAUCAAGGCUUCCCCAAUUAUCAAAGACAGUGGACUCUGCUCCUUCAGAGUGGUGGGGCUCACACGUAAAGAAGAAGAAACUAAGGGAAAAGAAGGAAUCCAAGGCAACUGGUGCUAAGUGGAGCCAUUGGAGAGAUAAUUAUUCAAGUCUUGGACCACUCUCCAAUUUCCCACUACACUGGUUUUAGGGGUGGGUGACAUACUCACAUGAAGUGACAGAAAGCAGGGCCCUCUAAUUCAAAGUUUAUUUUACUAUUAAAUAAAUAAAUAAAAAAGUCAUUUUCUUAAAACCCUUCUACAAUUUUCUGACAAAGCAAAUGACUUCUGUAAGCAGGAUACCAUUCUUGUGAAUGGGAAAAGGAAGAAGGUUGAAGGAAGAAGAGUAAACAAGUUUUCCCUUUAUUUUAUAUAGAUUGGUGAUUAGGCUGAAGUAGAGAUACCUUGCUACCUCGCUGCAUCUUCAAACGAUAAUGUUGAUUAAAGAUGAAUUGAAAGCCAUGCUUUGCCUGCGAAGUUUGAUUAGAGAGGAAUCUCUAAAUCAAAUUUUGUGAAACAAUUGGUUUGCUUGCUGUAUCAAGGCUUAGCCAAUUAUCAAAGACUGAAGGUAAGAGAUAAGGAGUUGAAGGCAACAGCUGGCAAGCUGGCAAGUGGAUCCAUUGGACAUGAUUUGAUUAUUCAAGUCUUGGACCACCCUGCAAUUUUCCACACCGCACUGGGUGGUGGGUCAGAGAGUUAAGGAUAACGUCAGAAAACCAAACAUGAAGCGACGGAAAGCAGGGCCCCUGUACGAAAAUAUUACUCUGCAACAAUCAAAAUAAUCAAAGAAUCAUGCAUUGAAAAAUUGCAAGCUAAUGUUGUUAAAUUUUAAAAAAUAUGAAUUCAGAAAUUAUUUGUAAAUAUUUAGAAAUUGCUAAUGUUGGCUUUAGUUCAAUUUCACAAAAAUAGAAUCAUGCAUUGAAAAAUUGAUUUGAAGUUGAAGUUUUACAAUUUCCUUAUUUAUUUUCUAGGAGUUCAUAUAGGAAUAAGUUACAAAUACAUGGGAGGAACUUACAAAGAUGUAAACAAGUAAUUAGGUUAAGGACUCCACUUCCAAGCAGGCCAUGUGCUUUUAAGGAUAGAAAAAAAAUUGUUUAACACAUUAAUAAGAACAAAUAAUUUAAUGUUUAAGAAUAUUAAAAUAUGAAUAAAAAUAAACAAUUUAAUCUUAGCCAGAUUGUGUUCUAUUUAAAAUUCAAUAAAAAUCUAUUUAAAUUUAAGAUAGAGAAACAAACUAGAUAUAAUUUUUUCACUUCUUAUAUUUUAAAAUAUUUUUUAAUUAAGCAUUCUUAAUAAUAUUUUUAUUUCUUAUAAAAAAAGUUAUAAUUAUUUCAUGGAUGAUUAUUAACUUUUUUUUUUAAGAGAAAGAUAUAUCGUUGAAAUAGUUUUUAAGAAAAGACAAUGAAAUAGAAUCUGAAAGUUGAAUUAUUGAAAAUAUUGUAACCUCUAAAGAUAAAAUGAAAAUACUAAAACAUUGAGUGAUGAAAUUUAGGUUAUUGAAUAAAAAUAUAAAUAAAUUAGAUCAAAAUAUAAAAAUACAAAUAAUCGAGACAUAUGUGAUGCGUGAGACAUGCUAAAUAAAAAAUUUUGCUCCCACAAUUUCUAUAAUAUUAAAAGAAAGUCAAUUUUUUAAUAAUCUCUUUCCAUCUUUUGGUACACGCAAUAGAAUAAAAUAUAACCAUAAUUCUAUACAUUUCUUUCACGGGAAAAAAAGAAGGAAAAAACUUGGGGUGCUGGCACAUUGGGUGUCCACAAGUGGACCUUGUAUUCAAUUAUUGGUAAGAGAUGGCCCGGAUAGGUGGCAAUUAUUGGGGCUCUUUUACUUAAUAGAAUAGAUUUAUAAAAUAAUUUUAAAAAUGACUUCAAAAAGUAUAUUGAAGUCUAUGAUAAUUGUUAAAUGUUGUCGAUUUGAUUUUACUUCUAAUAAGAAAUCUUUUUUAUUUUAGUAUGGAAACUUUUUAAAACAGUGAUUUACUUCCAUUGAUUUAAUGAUAUUAUUAAAUUAAAUUUAAAAAGAUUUGUUAAAAGUAAGUUUUUUUAUUAAGGUAGAGUUGGAUUCGAAGUUUUAAAAUUAAGUUAAAAUAUCUUAAUUAAUUUUUGACAAUUUUGAGGUUUUAUUUUAAAAAAAUUUCUUAAUUAAUUUAUAGAAAAUUAAUAUUUUACUUUUUAAACAAAAAUUAUUUUGUUAAUUAAUUUUUGAAAAUUUGAUUUUUUUUUUUUAAGAAAUUCAAUUUCAAACCAUCUAGGCUCUUAGGCCUAUAUAUAUUAUCUAAAUGUGUUUUUGGGUUGGAUGCUUUAAUAAAAUUAACCUCAACUUGCUCUAUCAUUCAUAAACUCUCAACAAAGAAUUCACUAAUCAAAUCCCAUAGUUUUUUAUUUCCAUAAUUAAUAUGAUGAUUUUCCACAUAAAAUUGAUUGUCUUGUAUGUAAUUGUGAUUUUAUUAUUUAUAUGGAUAUGUGAAAUUGACAAUAUUGCCCCUAGCCUCAAGCAUAGGGUGUUACAAACAUCCUUAUUUAUCGACUCUCAACAUGAUUAUACUUUUCAUAGUAACUUAGCAUGAAAAUCUUUCAAUUGUCAUAUUCUAACAUUAUCUAUAAGUUUCUUGAGUAUUGAAAUUGACAAUGCUUUUGUGAAUAAGUUUGUUAAAUUAUCAUUUGAUACUUUCUGAAUACUAAUUUUAUUACUCUUGUGGAGUUUAUGAAUAUAAAAGAACUUGAAUGAUAUAUGGUUACUUUAGUUUGAGUUUUCCUCUUUUUAUCAUUAUGGCCUAUAUGAUUCUUAUUGAUCUAAAAAUUAAAUUUAAAAAAUUAGGCAAGAGAUUAACCUACUUACAAUUUAUUAAGCCUGAGUCACUAAAAUUAGUCAAUUAAAUUAGUUUGUUAUCUUUUUCUUUUUAUAAUAAUAGUUGGCAAGGUUCUUAUCUAUAUCAAGAUUAACUUAACUAUUAGGUAAGGCUUAAGAGAACUUACUUGCAAUUAUUAAAUUUGAGUUAAUAAAAUUAAUCAAUAGAAUUAACUCGUCGUCUUUUUGUUUUUAUAAUUGUGGCCGACUUAGUUCUUAUCAAUAUGAAGAUUAAAUUAAAAGAUUAGGUAACGGCACCCACUUGCAAUUUAUUAAACUCGAUUAAGCAAAAGUAGCUUCACUUAUUUCUCUUUUUAUGAUUAUGGUCAGCAAGGUUCUCAUCAACAUCAAGAUUAAUUUAAAAGAUUAUGUAAGGGAACCUAUUUGCAACUUGUUAAAUUUGACUCAUUCAAAAGGUUAGUCAAGCAAAUACACUUGCAAUAAUUUACAAUCAAAAUCCACUUUAAAAUAAUAAAUAUAAGCUAUCUUUUUUUGGUUGCAUUGAACUUAUUGAUAAUUAGAUUUAAACAUAAUUAAUAUAAUUAUUUAAGUAUUAAUUAAGUUUUCAAAACUAAUUAAAAUUUAAACAUCACUAAUUAAAUGAAAUAGUAUAAAAUUUAAUUAAUUAUUAUAUAUAUAAAAUAAACUUUAAUUAUCUAAUUAAAAUUAUUAAAUACUUAAGUAUUACCAUGCCUAAGAAUUAAAAGAACUUUUCAUUUUUUCAAGGCAUAAAAAAAUAACAAAGGAAAAAUCUUGAUUCAAAUAAAUAAAUAAUUCCAUGGAAAAUAUAGAAAUGAAAAUAAUAUUUAUAUUGUGUAAUACUAUAUUGCAGUAGUCUACAAUUUAUCAGUCUUAUUUGGAUUGAUUUUUAAGAAGUCAAAAGUUCUUUUAUAAGCUCAAGAAGGACUUCUAUGUCUCUUUAAUUAAUUUUAUUUGAAUGGCUAAUGGUUUAAAAAGAAGAUAUGAAAACUACAUAUAUUUUUUUUUAUACUUUUUAUAAAGGUGCAUAGCACCUCAUGCUAAUAAUUUUGUAUAACAAAAUAAAUAUUUCAAAGGCACCUCCAAUUACCUAGAAAAUGAAUUUUCAAUUUAUCAAAUACUUAAUUUUUGUAACAAAGAUGUUUUUGAGCAUUAUCGAACAUUUCUAACUUUUCUAAAAUCAUGACCAAAUGACUCAUAAUCUUUUCGAAUACUAAAACAUUCAUCAAAUUAUUUUGUUAUGAGCUUUUUAUUUUAAUUAAAAGGUUAAAAUAAACACUAACUUUAUUAAUUUUAUGUUCCAAAAUAAGUUUCUUUGAAAGCUUGUAAUGUAAAUUGAUUAAUGAAUUUCAGUUAUGAAUGAUCUCGGGGAGUUUGAAUUAGAAAUUUUGAGAUAACACUUUUUUUUAAUUGUUUAUGAUUAAAUAUGUAUCAAAUAAACGUACAAAACUGAAAAGACUUUAGAGGGUGAUGAUAAAUCAAUUUAAUGACUUAAUUUAAGUUAUUAAAUAUAUUAAGCAUGUUUGAUAAAAUAAUAAAGUUAAAAAUGAUUAUGAGAAAUCAUCUUAACAAUUAAGACUCCAUGACUUAAAUACAAUUAAUUUAACUUAAAGUCAUCUUACCCCGAUAAAUAUCAAGUUUUACCAAAAUUGUUGUUAAUGAUCUCAAUAAUUUUUUAUUUUCUUUCUAAAUAAAAUUAUUUUCAUUUAUUUAUUAAUGGAUUAUGGAGAAUAACCAUCCUCUCCCCAUCCUCUUUUUAAAUUGCAUACCAAAAGUUAGAUAGAGAUUCAAAAAGGAUCCAUAAAUGCAAGUGAUGGAAGGAGCAAUUAAUUUGUUUUAUUAUUCACCAUUUUUCAAAUUCCAUUUUCUGUGAAUACCCCUCCUACCUAAAUGACUUUUAAACAAAAACUUUGAUCAUGUUUUCUAUGCUUGUUUUUAAAAAUUAUUUUUAGUGUUUUAUAGAAAUAAAGGUGUUUGACAAAUUAUUUUUUAAACCAGUUUUUAAAAAUAAAAAAUAAAAAUUUUGUUUGAAUAAAUUAUUUAAUUUUUUUUUUAUUUUGUAAAAAUAUUAUAAAUUCAAUUUAUAUAACGUGAAUUAAACAAAAAUCUUUUUAUUACGUUUCCUUCCUUAGGUUAUAUUUGGUUUUCAAAAUUUUGAAGGAAAGAACAUAAAUAAAAAAUAAACUUUGCUGUAGUAAAUUUUCUCUUCCUUUUAAUUAAAAAAAAUAUUAAGAAAUCAAAAUCUUAGCUGGAUCAUUGGAGUCAGCGUGGGACUUCCAGGCUGGCCCGUGUGCAUGCCAUUAUUUAUUUAUUUUUGUAAUUUCAAAGCAUAUUAUUUUUAUUUUCAAUAUUUUAAGACUGGCGCAUUUUUCAAGCUUAAGAUUCUCUUUAUAAUUAUGGACCUAUGGUUGUUGGUUGUAUCAAGAUUAAUUUAAAUGUUAGAUAAGACUUAACACAAUUUACUAGCAAUUUAUUAAAUUUGAUUUGAUAAAAUUAGACAAUAGAAUUAGCCUGUCAUCUUUUUCAUUUUAUAAUUAUGGCCGGCUUGGUUCUUAUAAAUAUGAAGAUUAAAUUAAAAGAUUAGGUAAUGACACCCACUUACAAUUCAUUAAACUCGAUUUAGUAAAACUAGCUUAUAAAAUUAGCUUGACUUUUUUGUUUUUUAUAAUUAUGGUCGACAAGCUUUUUCUCAAUUUGGGAUGACAAUAAGACGAUUUUUUUUUUACCUAUCUCUAAUAAGACAAAUUUGAAAUUUAAAUAAAUCAAUUAGGAGUGGAUUUGAGAAUUUUUUUUAAAAAAACCUAAGGCAAGUUUGGGAUGAGUUUGAGUAUUACCUAGUCCUGCCAACCCUACCUUGAUUAUACAUAAAAUUAAUUUAAUUUAACUUUUAUUUUCCUAUUUUUAAUAAAAUAAGUUAUAAAAAAUUAUAAUAUUUUAAUCAUUUAUAAAAUAUGUUUAUUUUGAUAUAAUUUAAUUUUUUUAAAAAAAUUAUUAUUAUCAUUUUUUUUUAAGUUAAAGCCAAGGUAUAGAAAAUUUGUAUACCCAUCCUGCCCUACCUCAUCCCAUUUAAUUUUUUUAAUAGGACGACUGACGAGUAUGAAAAUUAUUUUGAAUAAAUGAAAUAGGAGUGGAAUGAGUGCAACCCAUCCCCAACUUGCACUGUUGUCUUCUCCAACGUCAAGAUUAAUUUAAUAAAAGAUUAGGUAAGGGAAUCUAGUUUCAACUUAUUAAAUUCAAUUAAUUUAAAAGGUUAGUCAAGCAAAUCCACUUGCAAAAAUUUAAAAUCGAAAUCCACUUCAAAAUAAUAAUGAUGAGCCAUUUUUUUUCUUCUUGCAUUGAAUUUAUUGCUAAUUGGACUUAAAUAUAAAUAAAACUAAUUAAAAUUUAAAUACCACUCAAUAAAUAAUAUAAUAAAAUAUAAUUAUCUAAUUAAAAUUAAUAAAUACUUAAAUUAGGUUGGAGUUAUUUGGCCUCACCCAAAGUUCAAUUCGAGGUGGAUUUUUUAAUCUACGCAUAAUUUAAAUUGUAAAAGAGGCCAUCCAAGUCUUUUCAAAUUCAUUUAAAUUGUAAAAGAGGUCAUCCAAGUCUUUUCAAAUUCUUAUUGAGUUUGAAUUUCGUUAUGUUGAAACUUCCCAAAUUUGAUUACUAAUUUAAUCCAUGAUAAAUUAAAGUGAUGGUUUAAAAGAAUGAAAUAAAAUUUGAACAUUUGUCGAGAGAUGGACCGUCUUUAGUAUUAGUAAUUGGCUUCUGAUAGAUUUGCAAGGAUGUAGCACAACUACAAGGCUUGGUGCGAUGGGGAGUGUCUGGUGGUCAAGAGUGCAUACAUGAUCCCAACUUACUGUUUAAACUAGGCAAAAAAGUUGUCAUAGGAUGAUAUCUAACUGUAAAUUUACCAACAACAAAUAAUUGAUUUCGAAAUUAGGACUCCCAAGGGUGUUCUCGUUGAGUGGUUAUGCAAUAAAUGAGACACCAAAUUCAUUCUAUGGUUUAAAACAUUUGAUUCAAGAGAUGAUCAUUUAUUAUAAUCUUCAAAUGUUGAUACAAUCAAGUUAUAAACAUUUUACCAAGAUACCUAUUAACUUCGGGAAUCUAAUUAACCUUUGAUAUCUUGAUAUUAUUGUUACAAGUCUAUUAGAAGAAAUGUCUUUAGAAAUUGACAAACUAAAAGAUUUGUAAAUACCGUCUAAUAUCAAUCCCGGAUUGGAUGGGGAGAAAGGUUCAUGAUAUAUGUAGUGAGAUUCUCUUAAUUAUUAUGUUGAUGAAUUUUGAGCCGAGUGUUUUGCCCUAGAGACACCAUCUGAAUGGGCCCUUUUGUCCCAAAGACAACAUCUACAUGGAAAGGAGCAGUCGUUAAUUCAAGGAAAAAUCUUUCCACCUGAAUCUAAACUUUUCCAGAUGCUCGCUCUACAGCAGGUUUGGAUAGCCCAACUGAUUGAGUAGCCUAUCCCAAGAAGUCAAAAUAUGAAGUUUUGUUGAUUUGAAUCCAUUAUUUGGUCCUAAGUCGCUGAAUCUUUCUGAAUUUUCCACAGUAAUCAUUCCAAAUAUCCCAAAAUUUUAGUUCAUUUGGCUGAACUGCUAGGGAGUGAUAAUGACAAAAAACUUUAAUUUGAUUUAGGAGGGUCACCUGUAUCUCAAUUCAUAGAUUCUAAAGAAUGGAUUACUUAACAAGAAGCAAACCCAUCAGAAAUGCUUAACCCUCGAAUCUUACUACGAGAAAAUGGAACAUAAACAGCAAUGACCAAACGCUCAUUUUCAGAUAAUCAACGAAGCUAAAACCGAAGAAAAAUCAAACCAAUUCUUGAAAAAACAAAGCAAUAAGAGCUCUUCAAACUAUCAAAUUUCUAUAAACGCAGUAAAAAUAAAUAAAAAAAAUCCACAACUGCAACUAACUAGCUGAAAAGAAUAGUCCUUGAAAUUACCCUUUCAAUGGAUGACUCAGAGGAACGAACAAACCGGACAACUGGGCUGGCCUUGGGGUCAGGGAGGGCAUAGUUGAAGGUGGAAUUGAGGGGUCUAGAGGACUCAACCGGGGGCUUUGAUGGUGGGUUCGAAGACAAGAUGGUUUCAGUAGGAGGAGAUGGUGGCGGCGGCGGCGGUGAUGAUUCAUGAGAUGAUGAGCUCACGGAAGCGAGACAAGGCGAAAAUCGCCUGUGAUUUGUGGGAGGACGAAGACGAGACAGGGAGAGCGACAGUGGAGUGUAGGACAUUGCAGCGAAGAGGGCCAUCGCAGAGGGAACUGAGAGAGGAAAGGACAAAACAAAAUGAAGAAAGCGUGGUGUGAGCCUGUGAGGAGUCUGAGGACUGACAUAGUGACAUAUGAGGUCAAUGUUUUGUGUGUGUGGAGCCCACGGUUGCUCAUCACGCGGGUAAAUUAACGGUCUGGUUUAAUCGCAUAGCUCACAAUUCUGAGUCCGAAAAUCAUUUUAAAUACUUUCUUAUUUAUUAUGCUCGUAUAUAAAAAACAAAAUAUAUCAAUUAUAAAUUUCACAAAUUAAUUUUUUUAACCGUUGAUUUGGUUAAUAAAUAUAUAUAAUAAAAUUAUACUCUUUCUCGUAAUUAUUUCCAUAUAUAUAUAUAUAUUUCUUGGGUCAGAUUUUCUUAAGAUUAAUUUUGAUGAUUAUGGAGCAAAAAAUUAAAUUUUAGGAGGAUUUAUUCUCAGUAGAAAGGAUUACUUGGAGGAUAAUGUUGAAGGUCUAGGAGCCGAAUAAUCUAAGUAUGAGGAGUUUAAGGUUAUGUUUAGUUCCUUAAAGUUAUUAAGGAAAAAAUAAAUAAAUAUUAAGUAAAUAAAAAAUAUUAAAAAAAAUAAAUUUCUUGUAUUUAAUUUUAUAAUAAAAAAAUCAAACAUAAUUAAAAUGGUAAAAAAUUUAUAUAUUUUUAAAUUGUUAAUCCUUAUAUAAUAAAUGAAAAUAAUUAAAAAAAAUUAUUUUAUUUUAUUUUAUUUACUUUCCAUCACUUUUUUCUUUGAAAUAGUGAAUGAAAAAAUAAAAUUAAAGUUAAUAAAUUAAAUUAAUUUAAUUUGUUAUUUCAAACUUAUUUUAAAUUUUUAUAUAAAGAUAAAAUAAUUUAAAAAUGUAUAGAUUUUUAACCAAUUUUAAUUAUAUUUGAUUUUUUUUUAUUUUUCAUAUUAUAACAUAAUAUGAAAAAAUCACUUUCCUCGUUAUUUUUUUCUUUAUUACUUUUUGAAACAAAUAUAACCUAAGAGUAUGUUUGGUUUCUGAAAAUUUAAGAGAAAAUGUUAAGGAAAGAUAAAACAAAAGAAAAUAAAAAAAUAAAUUCAAAGUCAAUAAUUAUUUUAUAUAUUUUUUAAAAUUCAUUUAACUUAUUUUCCUCUAUUAUGUAAAGAUUAAAUAAAUUUAAAAUACAUCAACUUUUAACUAAUUUAAGUAAUACUUGAUUUUCUUUCGUAUUUUCUAUAUUAAAAUUAAAUAGAAUAAAAUCAUUUUUCUCAACAUUUUUUUUGCCUUAGCAUUUUCCUAAAAUCAAAUAAAACAUAAAAGUUUUGAAUUGAAAGCGUAUGUCAUUGUAUAAUUUUAUUGAUUGGUUGGAUCCUUACUAGGGAAUGAAGUCGUUUUUUGUUUUUUGUAUAUAUUUUGUGUGCUUUUUCUAUGCUAUUGAUAUGCGCUUGGAGAUUUUAAUAAUAUAUAUAUAUAUAUAUAUAUAUAUAUAUAUAUAUAUAUAUAUAUAUAUAUAUAUAUAUAUUUAUAUAUUUUUCUUAACUUCUUAUUUUUAUUUUUAAUGUGAAAGCACUUUUAGAUUUAGCAUGCCCAUAUUAUUAGUUGUAAACAAAUGAUAGAAUUGAAAAGAAUGGUUUGGGCUUUGUUCUCAGAAGAAACAAUGAUGGUAUUAUAAGUAGAGAAAAGGCUACAAAUUAUAGAUGGGAGAUCCUCUCAAUUAGAAGAUGUUAUGAGAGGAAGGUAAAAGAAAGAAUGACAAUAACAAAAAAUAGACACCAACCCAAGGCCCACAGCACAAAUAUCCAAGUCCACCACUGAAACACAAAACAAGGGUGAAGGUGAAGACAAGAUGGAAGGCAUUUGGCUUCAAGGGGAGAUAUGAUCUAUUGGCGAACCUAUCAGCUUCCUGAUCGGUUGCUCUAGACUUUCAACAGAAGGAGCAUCUCAUGUCUCUAGACAGCUUCUCUAUCCUUUUCAACCAAUGGUUAUGUCUCCAUAAACAACCCUUCUUUUAUUUGUGGCAGGUCGAUUUUACAUCUCAAACUUGCAUGGCAUAUUGCUGUUGAAUUGAAACCCACUAAAUUUAUUUUGGCAUUAUGGUCAUCCCCCUCUUAUGUGCUAACUUAUUUCAUUUUCUGCCAGGUUUAGCCCUGAAGCUCUAAACUGGCUGUUCAUCAAGGGAUUGGUUGGCUGGUUUUUGCAAGUCUCACUGCUGAAAGUAUCAUUGCUUUCAUUGGAUAGUGGGGAGGCACCUUUUCUGGACAUUGUGGCAUAGCAGCGUACACUUUCACAGGGAUGUGCUUGGCUGUCCUUGGGAGGGAUCAUGUGGAGCAUCUCAUAUUAUUUCUUGAUGCCCUGGGCAUGCCUAUGCAUGGGAAUAUUCUUGGUAAAGACCAUGAAGAGAAUCCUCUUUGCAGAGGUGAGGAGUUAUGUUUCCAGCAAGCAUCACUAUCUCUUGCUCCUUAUUGCUUUGGCUCAGUUCCCACUUUUCAUAUGGCUUGGCAACAUUAGCCUUCAUUAGCUUUUCUGAACUUCAUCUUUUGAUAAAUGUAUCCGGAAACAAUUUGCUUCUGUGGAAGUCUUAAAAUGUUGUAGUUUUGGUCUAUGAUCUCGGCCAAGUGACCAUUCUCCUGGACUAGAAAUAUUCUUUAAACUUAUGCUAAAGCUUAAAUAUGAUUCAAUUGUUCUCCUAGUUAAAACAGAAACCAAGCACUUGGCUUCCUUGUUCAGAAUUAUUUAUCCUUUUUUUCCCAAUUGAUUGGAAAUGAACUAGUUUAGCACUUGUACUUUGACAUGUUCACUUCAAGCAACUGUAGUUAAUAAAACAAUUGAGCAUGAACUGGAGUUGCCGAUGGAAUCCUGAAAGUGGAUGACAUAAAUUACUUGGUGCCUUCUUCUGGUACAUGAUACUCCUGAACUGAAUGUCAGCAUGGUAUUCAUGAAUCAAGUUUCAAAACAAUUGAGCUCAUAUAGAUCUUGCAUAACUGGAAAUCAAAGUGAAUCUCAUGUUGUUUUUGAUGGGUUUAGAAUAAAAUCAAUGACAUCACUAUGGCCUUUGUCAAUGACUUGGUUUUAAACUCUGGUUCAAAACAUCCACUGCAAUGGGAAAAUGACCUUAACAUCCAGUGAUGACUUCGUUUUAGACUCUGGUUCAAAACAUCCACUGCUAUGAGAUAAUGGCCAUAACAUCUGAUGGACCUCAUUUUCCCAGACACACGGAGAUGGAUUAGGUAGGGGUGACUCUGAAUCACUUGCAUUGAGUCUACUUCGUACAAAGUCCCUGAGGUCAGUUGAAGGUAGUCUGGUGAUCAGCUUGAUAAUUCCAAAUACUUGACGCGAGGCUAGAUGCUUGAGGGUAAAUCAAGAGGCACAGCAGUUGUAAAUC